AUUGAACGCUGGCGGCAGGCCUAACACAUGCAAGUCGAGCGGAUGAGGGAAGCUUGCUUCCCGAUUUAGCGGCGGACGGGUGAGUAAUGCCUAGGAAUCUGCCUGUUAGUGGGGGAUAACGCGGGGAAACUCGCGCUAAUACCGCAUACGUCCUACGGGAGAAAGCGGGGGCUCUUCGGACCUCGCGCUAACAGAUGAGCCUAGGUCGGUUUAGCUAGUUGGUGGGGUAAUGGCACACCAAGGCGACGAUCCGUAACUGGGCUGAGAGGAUGAUCAGUCAAACUGGAACUGGGACACGGGCCAGACUCCUACGGGAGGCAGCAGUGGGGAAUAUUAGACAAUGGGCGAAAGCCUGAUCCAGCCAUGCCGCGUGUGUGAAGAAGGUCUUCGGAUUGUAAAGCACUUUAAGUCGGGAGGAAGGGCUGUAGGCUAAUACCUUGCAGUUUUGACGUUACCGACAGAAUAAGCACCGGCUAACUUCGUGCCAGCAGCCGCCGUAA
rnacentral:rRNA from 1 species